AUUGAACGCUGGCGGCAUGCCUUACACAUGCAAGUCGAACGGCAGCACGGGAGCAAUCCUGGUGGCGAGAGGCGAACGGGUGAGUAAUAUAUCGGAACGUGCCCAGUAGUGGGGGAUAACUGCUCGAAAGAGCAGCUAAUACCGCAUACGACCGGAGGGUGAAAGCGGGGGCUCGCAAGACCUCGCGCUAUUGGAGCGGCCGAUAUCAGAUUAGCUAGUUGGUGAGGUAAAGGCCCACCAAGGCGACGAUCUGUAGCUGGUCUGAGAGGACGACCAGCCACACUGGGACUGAGACACGGCCCAGACUCCUACGGGAGGCAGCAGUGGGGAAUUUUGGACAAUGGGCGCAAGCCUGAUCCAGCCAUGCCGCGUGCGGGAAGAAGGCCUUCGGGUUGUAAACCGCUUUUGUCAGGGAAGAAACGGCUCCUACUAAUACUGGGGGCUAAUGACGGUACCUGAAGAAUAAGCACCGGCUAACUACGUGCCAGCAGCCGCCGUAA
rnacentral:rRNA from 1 species